rnacentral:tRNA from 2 species
GCCAACGUGACCGAGUGGUAAAGGUGCUUGUCUUGAAAACAAGUUGUGCGAAAGUGCUUGUGGGUUCGAAUCCUACCGUUGGCG